GGUGGAUGAUGCUGGCCACGAUCUCGCCCUUGGCAUCAACCGCGUCGCCAUGCACUUCGAUGGUCUCGUCCGGCGCGAGCGCGUCGAUUUCCUCCACCCAUACGCCCAUCAGGUCGCGCAAUUUGCCGGGAUAGCCGCCCGGCACCACGAGGUCGUGUUCGUCGUGGAUGCCGGCCAUGUAGCCGGUUAUGAAGCUGCCGCCUUCGGAUACGUAGGAUUCCAGCGUUUCGGCGACGCCCGGCAGCACGGUGAUGAGGGCGGGCGCGACCACCAGAUCGUAUUGUUUGAGCUUGUCGAGAGGCGUGGUGCUUUCGAUGAUGUCGACAGGCACGUUGCGUCGCCAGAACGCGCGAUAGAAGCGGUGCACUUCGUUCGGAUAGGAGAAUCCGGCGGUUGGUCCGACGCAGCCUUCGAGAGACCAGUAGCUUUGCCAGUCGAACAUGAUGGCGACUUUCGCACGGAUUUCCGAUCCCAUGAAAUAAGCACCGGCUAACUACGUGCCAGCAGCCGCGGUAAUACGUAGGGUGCAAGCGUUAUCCGGAAUUAUUGGGCGUAAAGGGCUCGUAGGCGGUUCGUCGCGUCCGGUGUGAAAGUCCAUCGCUUAACGGUGGAUCCGCGCCGGGUACGGGCGGGCUUGAGUGCGGUAGGGGAGACUGGAAUUCCCGGUGUAACGGUGGAAUGUGUAGAUAUCGGGAAGAACACCAAUGGCGAAGGCAGGUCUCUGGGCCGUCACUGACGCUGAGGAGCGAAAGCGUGGGGAGCGAACAGGAUUAGAUACCCUGGUAGUCCACGCCGUAAACGGUGGAUGCUGGAUGUGGGGACCAUUCCACGGUCUCCGUGUCGGAGCCAACGCGUUAAGCAUCCCGCCUGGGGAGUACGGCCGCAAGGCUAAAACUCAAAGAAAUUGACGGGGGCCCGCACAAGCGGCGGAGCAUGCGGAUUAAUUCGAUGCAACGCGAAGAACCUUACCUGGGCUUGACAUGUUCCCGACAGCCCCAGAGAUGGGGCCUCCCUUCGGGGCGGGUUCACAGGUGGUGCAUGGUCGUCGUCAGCUCGUGUCGUGAGAUGUUGGGUUAAGUCCCGCAACGAGCGCAACCCUCGCCCUGUGUUGCCAGCACGUCGUGGUGGGAACUCACGGGGGACCGCCGGGGUCAACUCGGAGGAAGGUGGGGAUGACGUCAGAUCAUCAUGCCCCUUACGUCCAGGGCUUCACGCAUGCUACAAUGGCCGGUACAACGGGAUGCGACCUCGUGAGGGGGAGCGGAUCCCUUAAAACCGGUCUCAGUUCGGAUUGGAGUCUGCAACCCGACUCCAUGAAGGCGGAGUCGCUAGUAAUCGCGGAUCAGCAACGCCGCGGUGAAUGCGUUCCCGGGCCUUGUACACACCGCCCGUCAAGUCAUGAAAGUGGGUAGCACCCGAAGCCGGUGGCCCAACCUUUUUGG
rnacentral:rRNA from 1 species